CCUACGGGCGGCAGCAGUGAGGAAUAUUGGUCAAUGGGCGCGAGCCUGAACCAGCCAAGUCGCGUGAGGGAAGACGGCCCUAUGGAUUGUAAACCUCUUUUGUCGGGGAGCAAAAGCCGCCACGCGUGGCGUUCCGAGAGUACCCGAAGAAAAAGCAUCGGCUAACUCCGUGCCAGCAGCCGCGGUAAUACGGAGGAUGCGAGCGUUAUCCGGAUUUAUUGGGUUUAAAGGGUGCGCAGGCGGAAGAUCAAGUCAGGGGUAAAAUUGAGGGGCUAAACCUGUUAGAGCCGUUGAAACUGGUUUUCUAGAGUGAGCGAGAGGUAUGCGGAAUGCGUGGUGUAGCGGUGAAAUGCAUAGAGAUCACGCAGAACACCGAUUGCGAAGGCAGCAUACCGGCGCUCAACUGACGCUCAUGCACGAAAGUGUGGGUAUCGAACAGGAUUAGAUACCCUGGUAGUC
rnacentral:rRNA from 1 species